CCUUCGAUAGCUCAGUUGGUAGAGCGGUGGACUGUAGUUGGAAAUACAAUCAAUAGAAAUCCAUAGGUCGCUGGUUCAAAUCCGGCUCGAAGGA
rnacentral:tRNA from 1 species